rnacentral:rRNA from 1 species
CAAGAGCGUAUAUUAAAGUUGCUGCGGUUAAAAAGCUCGUAGUUGGAUUUCAGUCUAGGAAGGUUAACUCGCCGAAAGGUUGUACGUUGAUUUUCCUCAGACUUCGUCAGAGGCUCGUGCUGCACUUAACUGUGUGGUACGAUGUUCUGACCUUUUACCUUGAGGAAAGUAGAGUGUUUCAGGCAGGCUACCCAGCUUGAAUACAUUAGCAUGGAAUAAUGAAAUGGAUCUCGGUUCGAUUUCGUUGGUUCUAGAGCUGAGGUGAUGAUCAAUAGGAACAGGCGAAGGUAUUCGUACUUGAGAGUGAGGAGUGAAAUCCGAUGAUCUCUUAAAGACGAUCCGAGGCGAAAGCAUUUGUCAAGGAUGUUUUCAUUGA